rnacentral:rRNA from 1 species
UACGUAGGGUGCGAGCGUUGUCCGGAAUUAUUGGGCGUAAAGAGCUCGUAGGCGGUCUGUCGCGUCGAAUGUGAAAACCCGGGGCUCAACUCCGGGCUUGCAUUCGAUACGGGCAAGCUAGAGUUCGGUAGGGGAGUCUGGAAUUCCUGGUGUAGCGGUGAAAUGCGCAGAUAUCAGGAGGAACACCGGUGGCGAAGGCGGGACUCUGGGCCGAUACUGACGCUGAGGAGCGAAAGCGUGGGGAGCGAACAGG